AUUUAGGUAACACACAACGCACCAGCAAUCACUGCUUUGCAGGCUACUAGAUGGCACUGUUUUGCUUAGCACAGCUGCAAACAGAAAUGCUCUUGCUUGUCUAGUAAAAUACCCCGAAUCCUGGCUGAAGUUGCUUUCAUCAUUGCUAUGAACAGGAGGAAAGGAAGGUUAAACUUUCUGUUGCUUUAAGUAAAAAAAAAAAACAAACAACAAGUGUUCUUCUUUUCCUUCAGAAUUUUGAAGCCUUUAUUUUUUGCAAGGAGAAAAAUCCAUCACGCUUCCUCACCAGCCCAGCUAUGCUUUGCUUAUGAACCCUGACAAGAUCACAGCUUGAGAUCUGAGGGUGGAUCCCUGCUCGUGAAUGUGGUUGACUCAUUCUCUCAGUGCUGUUCGUUGAAGGAUGCUGUCUAACUGAGGGUUAGAAAGAGAAAGCCUUGGAGAGGAGAGUUUUGUGAAACGUUUUCUAUAUUAACCUAUUUUAAGAGUUGUGAUUGAUCAGUAUGAAUUUCUGCAGACCAACCACUGUAAAAUUUUAGCUAGAGAAAGUCCUGAGGGUAUUCAGAAAACAUUUAUUUUAAUUCAGGAAGAAAAUAAUGUUUGAAACCGGCUGUCAAGUAGCUGUUGUGUCUGUCACCAUCACUUUUGUGUGUGUUUAAUACAUUAGAUGUACAACUGCACAGAAGAAAAUGACAGCUCAGAAGUGAAAGAUAUACAGAACAACACGGAGACUUAGAUAUCUAAGUCAUCUAUCUGCCUUUUCUGAUGAAAUUUUACCAUUUUGAAUUUGUAUCCCAAGACAGAGAUACAAGGCAGUUAUAUGGAUGAAAAUGCACGUUAGCUGUUUGAUUUAAUAUUUCAAUGCUGAAUUUCUUCAUAUAUGUACAUUUUUCAGCAACAAGGAGACACAUUACAAUGUAGAGAAUGCUACUGAGGAGAGACCAAGGGGAAUAAAGAGGGGAGCAGCAGCA
rnacentral:lncRNA from 1 species